rnacentral:tRNA from 1 species
GCGACGGUAGCUCAGCCGGAUAGAGCGUGGGGUUCCGAACCUCAAGGCCGGAGGUUCGACCCCUUCCCGUCGCGCCA